rnacentral:siRNA from 1 species
AGGCCAUCGAAGAAUCUCCCUGU